UAACGCGAAGAACCUUACCAGCCCUUGACAUACCGGUCGCGGACACAGAGAUGUGUCUUUCAGUUCGGCUGGACCGGAUACAGGUGCUGCAUGGCUGUCGUCAGCUCGUGUCGUGAGAUGUUGGGUUAAGUCCCGCAACGAGCGCAACCCUCGCCUUUAGUUGCCAUCAUUUAGUUGGGCACUCUAAAGGGACUGCCAGUGAUAAGCUGGAGGAAGGUGGGGAUGACGUCAAGUCCUCAUGGCCCUUACGGGCUGGGCUACACACGUGCUACAAUGGUGGUGACAGUGGGCAGCAAGCACGCGAGUGUGAGCUAAUCUCCAAAAGCCAUCUCAGUUCGGAUUGCACUCUGCAACUCGAGUGCAUGAAGUUGGAAUCGCUAGUAGAUCGCGGAUC
rnacentral:rRNA from 2 species